rnacentral:rRNA from 1 species
CUUAAGCAUAUCAAUAAGCGGAGGAAAAGAAACCAACCGGGAUUGCCUCAGUAACGGCGAGUGAAGCGGCAAGAGCUCAAAUUUGAAAGCUGGCUCCUUCGGGGUCCGCAUUGUAAUUUGCAGAGGAUGCUUCGGGUGCAGCCCCCGUCUAAGUGCCCUGGAACGGGCCGUCAUAGAGGGUGAGAAUCCCGUAUGGGGCGGGGUGUCUGCGUCCGUGUGAAGCUCCUUCGACGAGUCGAGUUGUUUGGGAAUGCAGCUCUAAAUGGGUGGUAAAUUUCAUCUAAAGCUAAAUACUGGCCGGAGACCGAUAGCGCACAAGUAGAGUGAUCGAAAGAUGAAAAGCACUUUGAAAAGAGAGUUAAACAGCACGUGAAAUUGUUGAAAGGGAAGCGCUUGCAACCAGACUCGCUCGCGGGGUUCAGCCGGGCUUCGGCCCGGUGUACUUCCCCGCGGGCGGGCCAGCGUCGGUUUGGGCGGCCGGUCAAAGGCCUCCGGAAUGUAGCGCCCUUCGGGGCGCCUUAUAGCCGGGGGUGCAAUGCGGCCAGCCUGGACCGAGGAACGCG